rnacentral:lncRNA from 1 species
AAACUUAGUAACUUGCUUCCAAGGAGUGGAGUACGGAAAGUAAAUUUAAAAUAGAGUAACCAGGCAAACACUAUCUUCGCCAGGUGACCAAGGUUAACAUCAUUAGUGAUAAGUCACCUUGACAGCAUAUUCCCUUGAUGUGAUGUGAUGAAAAUAGAAGCUUACCUCUGGUCUUUCUCUCAGAAUCCCAUAACCCCAGCCUAAUAUGAGAAAAACACCAGACAAAUUCCAUUUGAAGGAUAUUCUACAGAAUAUCUAACCAGCACUCUUCAAAACUGCCAAGGUCAUGAAAAACAAGAAAGAAAAGAAACACAGAUGUGAUGAAUGAAGAAAAAUACCAGUUGAGUCACCUAACCAGUACUGAAAAAAAUCACAGGAAGAUGAAAAGGUUCUGAAGCAUUUACAAUUUUAUAAGCUUUCUUCGGGGUAAAACUUAUGUUUAAAACUUGCCAUGCAGGAUGUCUUGCAGCCCCACCACAAAGAAGAUUCAGUGGAGCUGAACAAGCUCACUACCAAGCCACUGAAAAGAGGAAAGAAAGUCCAUCUGAGAUCAAAGGUCGCACUUCCCAUUUUUUUCAAGUUCUGCAAAGGUGAUCUGUUUCCCUUUAGUGCACAGGAAAUAAGUGAGAUGUUCUCUAAAAGCCUUUACCUGUUUCACCUUAUACUGUAAUCACUAAAUCCAGAAGACUAACGCAAACUCAUACUUAAAAAGAAAACAAUUAGCCUAGAGCACGUAAUAGAAAUCAGAAGCAUUUGA